GACGAACGCUGGCGGCGUGCUUAACACAUGCAAGUCGAACGGAAAGGCCCUGCUUUUGUGGGGUGCUCGAGUGGCGAACGGGUGAGUAACACGUGAGUAACCUGCCCUUGACUUUGGGAUAACUUCAGGAAAAUGGGGCUCAUACCGGAUAGGAGCUCCUGCUGCAUGGUGGGGGUUGGAAAGUUUCGGCGGUUGGGGAUGGACUCGCGGCUUAUCAGCUUGUUGGUGGGGUAGUGGCUUACCAAGGCUUUGACGGGUAGCCGGCCUGAGAGGGUGACCGGCCACAGUGGGACUGAGAUACGGCCCAGACUCCUACGGGAGGCAGCAGUGGGGAAUAGUGCACAAUGGGCGGAAGCCUGAUGCAGCAACGCCGCGUGCGGGAUGACGGCCUUCGGGUUGUAAACCGCUUGCGCCUGUGACGAAGCGUGAGGGACGGUAAUGGGUAAAGAAGCACCGGCUAACUACGU
rnacentral:rRNA from 1 species